AAAUAAAUAAAAAUAUUUAAAAAACAUUUUUAAUGUUUCUGAAUUAUAUUUUUUCAAAUUCAAACUUUUUAUAAUUUGCUUUUUUGAAAUUUGUUUUUUGAAAGUUUUUUUUUUAAUUUCUUAAUGAAAUUCGAAAAUAUUUUUGAAACAAUUUUUAAAUUUUUUAAAGUGUUUAUUUUUAUAUAUAUUAGAAUACUAAACUCCACAUUCUAAAAAUCAUAUCAUAUACCUCAACUUUAAACCCUAAGUCUAGAUUAGUUUACCCUAAAGUUAUAAAUAUUUUUUUUUCUUUAUAAAAAUGAAGAUAAAAUAGUUAAAGUAAACAUGAAAAGUGGUAUUAUGAAUGUGAUAUUUUUGGCAAUUUUCCAUGAUAUUUUGUGUACAAAAAUCAUUAAACAAAGUUAUGGACCUUUUUCUUCUCUUCAUCCUUAUUUCAGGCAUUUUGUAACCAUUUCCAAAGGCAAUUUCAACCAGGUCAAGGUGCACAUCUCGCUGCACAAACAAACUACAGCGGCGGAACCGCAGCUACUACCUAAACUUGGAUUAUGGUUACUGUGGUGGAAGAGGCCGAUCGAGGAAGUUCUGUCUCCCUUAAAAUGGUGUUGUUGGUCACUCGCAUUCUAGCACUCUGUUUUGGAGUUUAGUUCUUUCGGGUAAAGAACAGCUUUAUGGUAACCAAUAUCUCAAGAUUUGUAGGCAUUAUCAUAUUGGCUAGUUCGAAGUUCCUUGCUUAAGCCUCAGGAGAGAAUGUUGGUUCUCCAUGUAGAGCGACACAAAAGUAACAUGAACCUUUUGGUAUAUGCAAACCAUUAAAUAUAGAUAAACUUUGUUAUUUAAUAUUCUAAUAUACAUAUAAACAUAAAGCAAAUUUUUAACACUUACAAGUUAAGAAUUUCUCUCUUUAUAUAUAACGAAAAAGCACAUAAGGCACUAUAUUAGAAGAUUCCUUAAACUCUUGAUGACUACAAGCUUUAUACAAUUAUGUAAGUUACUUGCAGAGCCCAUCUUCGCCUUUACACCAAGGGAAAGAAAGAUACCAAGGCUUUCUCCACCAAUUAGUGUUAAGUAACCUAUAUCCUCUCUCAUACCUCUCACCAAAAGAGCCAAGAACUUGGUCCCAGCCUGGAUGCUGUCUCAUUAAAUCAACCAAAACCCCAGACCGAGAGCCACAUAAUAAUGCCAAGAUUGUCAUCUACCCAUGCUACAAGCCCUUUCAUCUGGUGUGCCGGCAUCAUCUGUGCCAUCAUAUCUAUUGCUGUGAUAAUUGGUGGCAUUGUAAUCUUCGUUGGUUACAUGGUCAUUCACCCGCGAGUUCCCAUCAUUAGUGUUGAGUAUGCUCACCUCGACCUCUUAAAGUAUGAUAUAGUUGGAGUCAUGCAGACGCAGUUGACGAUUGUGAUUCGCGCAGAGAACGAUAAUGCUAAGGCUCCUGCUUUGUUUGAUAAAACCAAUUUUAAGCUAAGCUAUGAAGGUAAAAUAAUAGCGUAUUUAAAACAGGAUGAGUUCGUAGUUGCUAAAGAGAAAUCAGUUUUCUCUCAUUACGUGGUUCAGUCAUCUCCAAUACCAUUGAGUACACAAAUGAAGCAAGCCAUAGACUACGCGAUUAAACAAGAUGUGAUUGUUUUCGAACUUAAAGGUGGGUCAAAGGCUCGAUGGCGAGUCGGGCCAGUAGGAUCGGUCAAGUUCGAAUGUAACCUUAGCUGUGAGCUUAGGUUUAGACCGUCUGAUCAUAAUUUCAUCCCAUCUCAUUGCACUUCUUCUCAUAAGCAUUAGGAACUCUCUUUGUCUCUCAUUUGAUUUUUCUUUUUAAACUUAGUUAAUUAGUUUUAAAAAAAUAUUUUUGGGGCCGGUUUUUUAUUUUUCUAAAAUAAAUGUAAUAAACUGUUUCAUAAUAUUAUCAAAUGAACAAUCUUGCCCUCUCUCCCAAAGAUGUAAAUAUAGAAGAAAAAUCAUGAUAUUGGAGUUUUCUUGUCACGAAGGAAGCUUAUUUUUCAUCCUUACAACAUAAAGUUACUUUAUCGAAACUUUAUAUUCUUUUAGCCGUGGAAAGCAUAAACACUUGCGUCACGGCACUUACCUACUAACUACUUUUUGGGGGAGGUAAAUUGUACUAUAUUUUACAUGUAAUUAGGAGUUAUUGUAUCUUGGACUUGGAAAACGCUGGACUUAACGAAGUUUUGGGCCUUGACCAGAGCCGGGUCCUAAGGUUUGGCAUGAUAAGACUACGUUGAGAAUAAUGCUUGGAAACGAAAUUUUUAUGAGAAGUCAUAUUUCUUGUGAAAGCAACCUGAAGUAAUUGCUUUUGUCAUGAUUAACAUUUUUACUGGAUUAUUUUUUUGACUUAACACAAUAGGAUAUAAUUUACAAAAGAAGAUUACAAACUUAAACAAACCAAAACAAAGUUCAAACAACGGUUCCACGUGAGUAACGUGAGAGUUCGCGUAAUAAUAGUACUUACUUUUCUUUUCACUCAAACCAAAUCUAGUUAAAAUCUCGGGAAACACGACUGGUGCGAAAGGAGAAGACUUUUCCAAGAAGACACGCGUCUAUAGAUGAAUGGUCUGUUAUUCUCAUUAAAUACACAUCAAUGGAGGCUAACCUAUCCACGAUAUUUAGAUUUAGAGAGAACAAAUCUUUGCCAGAUAUGGUAACUGUUCUCUCUCUAUCUCUCUUUCUUCUUUCUAUCUUUUCAAUUGAGAGAGAGAGAGAGAAGAGAAGGUCCGAGGAGGAGGACUAAAAAGAUGUUACGGCGGCCUCUGACUCGCUUGGUGCAGGUCGGGAACUGAUUGGCUGACACCGCCACGUGGCUUUCCAUGGUUGGCUUGUGAGCAGGGAUCGGAUCCCGCCUUGUAUCAAGUGAAUCCGAGUCCGACGUGAAAGAAAAAAAAAAGUCCACAGCUUUCAGAUCUGACACACUCAUCAAAUAUCUUGUAAUUGGGGAUUUAUUCUUCUUUGUUAAUCUUUUAAUUAGUUUUCAAGCAUGAUGAUUAAUGGCUAUGUUCUUGAAAUUUCAGGAUCUAAGGUGUUUCUUAGCUAUAUAUAGAUCUCGUAUUUGAAUUCUUCAUAGGUUAAAGAUUGGUUCAUUGAGUUAGAUUUUUGUGAUGCACACUCAUGUGUUGAUUCUGAAUCUCGAAGCUUUAUGCUUAAUGGGGGUGUUGAGACUUUUGAAUCUCAGGUAAGUUCCUUCUAUUGAAUCUCUGAGUUUACCUUGGUCAUCUGAAUCAAAGUUAAUGAUGCUGUCGGAUUCGAGUUUAUCAUGGAUCAGAAUAGGAGUUUUUAGCAAGUUUUGAAGAAUCUUUUAAUAGAAAUUAAAGUUGAUUUCCAUUUUUUUUUUCAGAUUCGUUUUGGUUUCGAUAAUGGUUUAUUUCGAAUAAUAUUAAUAGUUUCCUUUUCGGAUAGUGUAAAUAUAGAAACAAAAUGAUGCACAGAAGCAUAUAGUGUUAACGUGUCUGUGUUGGUUAUUGUGAAGGAUUAUGAUUGUUGCUAAUGUAUGACCGAGAGAAUCUUUUUGGUGAAUGACAUAAUAAAGCUGGAUUGAACAGAGGUGGAGAAAGAUGUAGUUGCACUCGAAAUACUUUAUUUGAAGUUGAGAGUAUGGGUUUAUUUUUGUCAAUCUGAUUCUUUUUUCCUUUACCCUAAAAUUACUUUAAACCUUUGUUUUAAUUAUAAAAGUCACGCAUGGCUAAACGCUUUAAUCCUCUAAACCCCUGGUUUCGUUUAUAUACUCUCUUCUCUGAUGUCAACACACCGUUAGUAGUAGAGUUUCCUAUAAUUUGAAUAAUCUUCUUUUGGUGUUGCUUUAAUCACAGUUGUGGUUUAGGAGUUCUUGCCUGAUCGGAUUUAACAACGCACAAUUUUUAAGUUGUUGCCAUGUACAAACAAUGAUAUUCAAGGACAGGACCGAACUCCAACCUAAAGGCUUAGUAUUAGAUUAUUACAUUGUUUUCUAUCUCCUCUUUACCUGUAUUAUUUUUGAGGUAAAAUACAUUUUUUUCAUUUUAUUAUUUAUAAUUAACAAAAAAACGUGUGCAAGAGAGCAUCUUAUUUAAAAAUGGACUCUCUGUACCUACCAAUGACUGACUACUUGUAAGCAUAAGUUGCCAAUAUAUAUCUGAAAAAGUAGAUGCUCUA